rnacentral:rRNA from 1 species
AUGUCCGGCGUCCUAUACAUGCAAGUCGAGCGGACAGAUGGGAGCUUGCUCCCUGAUGUUAGCGGCGGACGGGUGAGUAACACGUGGGUAACCUGCCUGUAAGACUGGGAUAACUCCGGGAAACCGGGGCUAAUACCGGAUGCUUGUUUGAACCGCAUGGUUCAAACAUAAAAGGUGGCUUCGGCUACCACUUACAGAUGGACCCGCGGCGCAUUAGCUAGUUGGUGAGGUAAUGGCUCACCAAGGCAACGAUGCGUAGCCGACCUGAGAGGGUGAUCGGCCACACUGGGACUGAGACACGGCCCAGACUCCUACGGGAGGCAGCAGUAGGGAAUCUUCCGCAAUGGACGAAAGUCUGACGGAGCAACGCCGCGUGAGUGAUGAAGGUUUUCGGAUCGUAAAGCUCUGUUGUUAGGGAAGAACAAGUACCGUUCGAAUAGGGCGGUACCUUGACGGUACCUAACCAGAAAGCCACGGCUAACUACGUGCCAGCAGCCGCGGUAAUACGUAGGUGGCAAGCGUUGUCCGGAAUUAUUGGGCGUAAAGGGCUCGCAGGCGGUUUCUUAAGUCUGAUGUGAAAGCCCCCGGCUCAACCGGGGAGGGUCAUUGGAAACUGGGGAACUUGAGUGCAGAAGAGGAGAGUGGAAUUCCACGUGUAGCGGUGAAAUGCGUAGAGAUGUGGAGGAACACCAGUGGCGAAGGCGACUCUCUGGUCUGUAACUGACGCUGAGGAGCGAAAGCGUGGGGAGCGAACAGGAUUAGAUACCCUGGUAGUCCACGCCGUAAACGAUGAGUGCUAAGUGUUAGGGGGUUUCCGCCCCUUAGUGCUGCAGCUAACGCAUUAAGCACUCCGCCUGGGGAGUACGGUCGCAAGACUGAAACUCAAAGGAAUUGACGGGGGCCCGCACAAGCGGUGGAGCAUGUGGUUUAAUUCGAAGCAACGCGAAGAACCUUACCAGGUCUUGACAUCCUCUGACAAUCCUAGAGAUAGGACGUCCCCUUUCGGGGGCAGAGUGACAGGUGGUGCAUGGAUUGUCGUCAGCUCGUGUCGUGAGAUGUGGGUUAAGUCCCCGCACGAGCGGCACCGUGAUCUAGCUGCCAGCAUUCAGCUGGCACUCUAACUGGCGGUGACAAGCCGGAGGAAGGGGUUGGGGG